rnacentral:rRNA from 1 species
UUUACUAGAAUAUAGUUAUCCUACUUGGAUAACUGUGGCAAUUCUAGAGCUAAUACAUGCAAAAAAGCUCUGCCCGCAAGGAACGAGCGCAUUUAUUAGAAUAAAAACCAAUCGGGUUUCGGCCCGUAAUUUGGUGAAUCUGAAUAACUUUGCCAAUCGCACAGUCCUAGUACUGGCGAUGUAUCUUUCAAGUGUCUGCCUUAUCAACUUUCGAUGGUAGGUUAUACGCCUACCAUGGUAGUAACGGGUAACGGAGAAUAAGGGUUCGACUCCGGAGAGGGAGCCUGAGAAACGGCUACCACAUCCAAGGAAGGCAGCAGGCGCGCAAAUACCCACUUCCAGAACGGAGAGGUAGUGACGAAAAAUAACGAGACAGUCCUCUUCGAGGUCUGUCAUCGGAAUGGGUACAAUUUAAAUCCUUUAACGAGGAUCUAUUGGAGGGCAAGUCUGGUGCCAGCAGCCGCGGUAAUUCCAGCUCCAAUAGCGUAUAUUAAAGUUGUUGCGGUUAAAACGCUCGUAGUUGGAUCUGCGGCCUCGGAGAACGGUCCCCCGAAAGGGCGGUCACUGUCUCUCCUAGCCUAAAUUCAAGUCGUCUCUAGGUGCUCUUUACCGAGUGCUUAGAGUGACUAGAACGUUUACUUUGAAAAAAUUAGAGUGCUUAAAGCAGGCGAAAUAGCCUGAAUAAGGUGCAUGGAAUAAUGGAAUAGGACCUCGGUUCUAUUUUGUUGGUUUUCGGAACCUGAGGUAAUGAUUAAGAGGAACAGACGGGGGCAU